rnacentral:lncRNA from 1 species
UAGAAGCGAAAUCAUCCGAUUCUAAAUCGACCUGGCAACGAGGAACGGCAACCAACAUCGCCCCCAAGAUUUGCUACAACUGCCGUAAGACUGGACAUGAAAUUCGGGACUGCAAAUCCGUGCGCUGCCAAAUUUGUCAACGGCUGGGCCACUCUGCCACGUCUUGCUGGUAUGCUGCCGGGACAUCUCAGACCGUCCCUAGGACAGCACAAUACACCACGACUCAGCAGCAAGGAAUACAGGCACCUCAGCGGCCAAUGCAGCUCCCAAAAAUGGGAGACAAUCCGAUUGAUCGCCGUGGGCCACGGCAGCUGCAGGAUGGCCGAAUGUAAUAAGUUUUACUCAAUAACCCGUAUGUUUCGGAUGAGGUGUAAAUAUAUAUCUUGUAAUUUCCCUAUUAUUAUAUAAAAUAUUAUUAUUAUUAAUUUAGCAUAAGUAUGACACCAAUGAGGUUUAUGUCUAAUUAUAAAUAUAUCUAACAAUGUAGUGAAUUAAUUAUAUUAAGAAUUAUUAUGUUGGUAACUCUCAAUUGCAAUUGUUUAUUUAAUAUUUUCUUGUUGGCAACACUGCAUUGAAAUUGUUUAUAAAAUAGGGUGCAACAGUCAUUUGAGCCCUCUUGUAUUGUGGAUCGCCUAAUAAACAACACCUCUUGGCA